GCAAUAUAAACGUCAUCAGUAUGCGACAACACACCAGCACCACCUUUCUUAUUUGGAAACAGAAAUAUCUAGGAAAUGCAUUUUUGUUUCAAAAUAUGAUCUAUUUAAAGACUGUUUUGAAGAAAUCGCACGUAUUUGGUUUGCUUAAUUAGGUUUACAGAAAUGUUUCGUAUAUCAGUUACAGUGUGUGGUCGAGGCAUUUCUAAAAGGAUGAAGCCAACUAAGAAGAGGACAUCUUUCUCUGGAGAGAACGCUCUACCCUCAAAUGUACGCAUCCCUUCCAAUCUCGUGGACCAUGCAAGAGCAUGUAAGAGAGGCCCCCUCCUCCAUCAGACUCCAGUCUUCCUGUGUUGGGGACGUGUGACGCUGUCGUCCCUGUACACCUGAGCCCAGUACAGACAUGGGUGGAGACGUUGGAGAGGCGGGACAGUAAACGGUUAGGUUUGGUUGACCUCCACCCGAUGUCUUUGCAGUCCCUACCAGGUGGUGUUUCUCAUGGACCCAGAGGACCAACCAGUUUUGACUACAUGUUUCCCAUGAAACUACGUGUUCAAGGGCUAAAAAUUGCCCUCAGCUCGAAACUGGCCCAGGAUUAUCUCCAUGUGGUUGACACUCUGAACAUCCCCACACCUGACCCACAGUACCUUAUGGACCUCAUCAGAUACCGACAUUGGGGGGAGUCUGUUUUGAUAGUUGAUGUAAGUAUCAGCAGUGAACAAAAAAAACUCUUCAGUGGACAUCCUAGCUGACGAUUGAGUCUUUGAUAUUUUACAGUGGCGACGAGCUUCCUGAGAACAUCCUUCAGGCCACUGAGAGCUUGAAGACUGUGAAUGUCAUUCCAGGCAUAGGCCUGAACGUUCAUAGCAUGCUAAAACACGAGGUCCUGGUCCUCACCCUGGAAGCAGUGAAGUUUCUGGAAAACAAGCUGCUUUGGCACGAUGAACGCUUCACACCGCUGUACCCCUUCAAACACCCCUACACUGACCUGCCUUGAAGGCACUGGGUGAAGGAAUAACGUCAUGUAACAUAUUCAAUGAUCCAAAUGUUUGUCAUGCCUUUUAAUAUAAUAAAUAAAUGUCAAUGAUAAGAUA